UUAGAGUUUGAUCCUGGCUCAGGAUGAACGCUAGCUACAGGCUUAACACAUGCAAGUCGAGGGGAAACGGCAUUUAGUGCUUGCACCGAAUGGACGUCGACCGGCGCACGGGUGAGUAACGCGUAUCCAACCUACCCAUUACUGUGGGAUAACCUGCCGAAAGGCAGACUAAUACCGCAUAGUCUUCGAUGACGGCAUCAGAUUUGAAGUAAAGAUUUAUCGGUAAUGGAUGGGGAUGCGUCUGAUUAGCUUGUUGGCGGGGUAACGGCCCACCAAGGCAACGAUCAGUAGGGGUUCUGAGAGGAAGGUCCCCCACAUUGGAACUGAGACACGGUCCAAACUCCUACGGGAGGCAGCAGUGAGGAAUAUUGGUCAAUGGGCGCGAGCCUGAACCAGCCAAGUAGCGUGCAGGAUGACGGCCCUAUGGGUUGUAAACUGCUUUUGUAUGGGGAUAAAGUCAAUCACGCGUGAUUGUUUGCAGGUACCAUACGAAUAAGGACCGGCUAAUUCCGUGCCAGCAGCCGCGGUAAUACGGAAGGUCCGGGCGUUAUCCGGAUUUAUUGGGUUUAAAGGGAGCGUAGGCCGGAGAUUAAGUGUGUUGUGAAAUGUAGACGCUCAACGUCUGACUUGCAGCGCAUACUGGUUUCCUUGAGUACGCACAACGUUGGCGGAAUUCGUCGUGUAGCGGUGAAAUGCUUAGAUAUGACGAAGAACUCCGAUUGCGAAGGCAGCUGACGGGAGCGCAACUGACGCUUAAGCUCGAAGGUGCGGGUAUCGAACAGGAUUAGAUACCCUGGUAGUCCGCACAGUAAACG
rnacentral:rRNA from 1 species